UCUCCCCUUCUCUCUCUCUUCCCUUUCUUCACAAACCCUAGGAGCCGACGCCUGUCUCUCUUUCUCUCUCGUCCUAAAUAUGGAAAAUUCACUGAGUAAAUGUAAGAUGCACAACUUUGCAGCAUUAUUUACAUGAAACAAAGUAAUUCCAAGGUUUGUUUUCAUCCAGAUCUUUCCCAAACGUAGUAAUAGACUUUUUCUUUUGCUUUUCUUUUGCAAUUAUUCAGUCAAAAGUUGAUUAUUGCUGUCUUAUUUGUUGUACUGUGUUCAUUUUGCUCAAACUUCAUUGGUUGGGGACGAAUGGGUUGGAUCGAGUCCAACGAGGCUCAUAUCUGACCAUUCAUUUGCUGCUGGAAUCAUUUUAAGCUAUAGAUGUUGUUUUACAUGGCUAAUUUCUGAGAAACUAGUUGUCCCACAUUGGUGUUUUUGACGGUUUUGAACAAUUUUGGGGUUCUAUAGAACCCCACCCUCACCCUAAAAAGAGGUCGAAAAAAGUGGGGAACAACCUCAAGAGGCUAGAAGUUUCGAUUUUAAGUUUCUCAGUAUAAAAAUUUUAGACUUUGACCUUAAAAGUUGAAGUUUUCUCUAAGUUCUAAAAUUAUUUUCUUUUGUUGUUCUAUAUUUUGUGUGGCUGAGUCUCGAAAUUGGAAGCACACGGCUCCAAAGUCCAUUUGUUUCUUGGCUGCACAUAUAAAAGGUGAUUUCUUCAAUUGGAGAACUCUGAUCCAUAUGUUUAAGUUAUCCAUACCAUGUCCACUAGUGUUACAGACCCUGUCUUCCUGCACAUCCUCUGCAUUAUGUGUAAAAUUAUCCAGGCCUAAAAUAUGGUGUAUAAAGGUUAUGUGAAUACCUACUUUGGCUGUGCAUAAGUCAUCUACACUUGUUGUGGGCAUUGUAUGAGUGACCUUGUAUGGUCUCUGUAGGUGUUAAAUCUGCUGCUUGCUUAUGUUUACAUUGUAUUAGUACUGAGGUUUGCUUCCCCUAUGUUUAUAUGCCUAAUCUGUGUCUUGGCUAUCCUCUAUCUAUGUCCUGCAGUUUACCCUUGAUCUCUCUAUGUCUAUGUGCCCUUACUUGUUUUGUUUACACAAUGUCUACUUGAUUCAAGACUUCUUUGAACUAUGCUACGUCUAUGUACCUGUUGAUGUUGUGAAUAUUUGGUUCAGUCUAGCUUUGAUCACAUUAUAUCCAUGUAUGCUAUUUCAUCCUUGUCUAAGUUAUAUUCAGUUAUCUUGGUUUUGGAUUUACUAGAAUAUUACACCUGCUCAUUGUCCAUUCAUCUCUUCUCCUCCUACUCUUUACUUGUUCCUAUUAAUUUAUGGCUAUUCUAUAACUAUGUGCAUCAGACUUGUUUUAUCUGUUUCCAAGCCUAUAUGUGGAUAUGUAAAUCUGUGUCCUUCAUGGCUGUAUUGGCUGAGAGAACAAAGCAGUUUGGGGGGGGGGGGGGGGGGGGGCCUGGUCCGAACCUUCCCCUGGUGACCAGCCAUGCCGGAGGUUCAUGAAACCUCUUGGAACUUGUGCGGCAUCAGGAGUACGGAUGGUGAUGACUUUUCCCACCACUACCCAAGUCUUCUCCAAUAAAGUCUAAGGGCAUAGAGGUGCAUAUGCAUACUACAGGACUUGUGAAUAGAUAUGAUGAUAUAUAUGUAUGUGUGUACAGCUAUGUAUGUGAUAAGAUUGGUAAAAAUAUAAACUAACCCGGGUCCCUCUUUUUCCUCUUUCUCACUACAUGGCCAUUUGGGUCGAGGUCCAGCCACUCCAUUGGGCCUAGGAAAAUUCUUUCAAAGAUUUAUUGAGUCGGAGAAAGAAGGGGAAGCUAAUAUAUAUUGAAGGCCCAGUCAUGGGUGAAAAUGACAUGAAGGCCCAACCAUGGGUGGGAAUGGUUAACUAGGGGUUUGGUACACCCCUAGUCUAUCCCUCCUACGUUAUUUAUGUUGUUCCAGCUUUUCUUAAUAUGUUGUAUUGUAUUCAUACUUGUAAAAAACUCACAUUAUUAUUGGAAUCGGUUAUGGUUUGAACUAGA